rnacentral:lncRNA from 10 species
GGGCCCGGCAGCUACAUUUACAAUACAAACGUUGUACAUCUGCCCCUCUGAUAUGGUUUGGCUGUGUUCCCACACAAAUCUCAACUUGAAUUGUGUCUCCCAGAAUUCCCACGUAUUGUGGGAGGGACCCAGGAAGAGGUAAGUGAAUCAUGGGGGCUGGUCUUUCCCGUGCUAUUCUCGUGAUAGUGAAUAAGUCUCACGAGCUCUGAUGUGUUUAUCAGGGGUUUCUGCUUUUGCUUCUUCCUCAUUUUUCUCUUGCUGCCACCACGUAAGAAGUGCCUUUUGCCUCCCACCAUUAUUCUGAGGCCUCCUCAGCCAUGUGGAACUGAUGACACAUCUAGAAGACCCUCACCUUAUGCUUAUGCUGGCCCCUUGAUCUUGGCCUCCAGAAAUAACCCAGAACAGCAAGAUUUUAGGAAUUAUUGGAAAAGCAUUUUUUGAACUGUGUGUUCAUCUUAAAAGCCAAAUUCUCCCUCCCUUCAAAGGACAGCAUGAGGUAUAAUGAAGAAUCUUGAGGUCCUCCUGGAUUACCAAAGUGGGCCCUAAAUCCAGUGGCAGAAGACACAGACACAGAGAGGAGACCAGGUGAAGACAAAAGAAGAGGCUGGAGUGAUGCAACCAUCAGAGAGUGAAAAUACUCAGUUACCUCCUGGUUUAUGAGGCAAUGAAGUAUUCCAGCACAUAAAUAUUGACGCUGAGACCCAUGGGAUGUAGGAGUGCUGAGCACAUUUGCAAGACAUAAAGACCGAAGUGUGUGUGGUAUCUAGAUGAGAUGCAUGGUGAUGACUGGAGACUGGGCGUGAUGAAUGACUUAGGAAACCUCUGGAGGGUGCCUGCUUUGUGGCCAUAAACCACUGUGCCCAUGUGGAAAACACUGCAGUCCUGGGGCAGAAGAUAAACUUCAUGCUUGAUAAAAAAAAAAAAAACAACCAAAAGAGGUGAAUCACUUCAAAGAGAAGGACCAGAUUCUCAUGGACCCCACUGCCAUGCUGGCCAGACAUCUUGCUGCCAUUGUUUUCCUGUUAUUUACUCCCAAACAGAUGGAGUGUCGCUCUGUCACCCAGGCUGGAGUGCAGUGGCACGAUCUCGGCUUACUGCAAGAUCUACCUCCCGGGUUCACGCCAUUCUCCUGCCUCAGCCUCCCGAGUAGCUGGGACUACAGGCGUCCGCCACCACGCCCGGCUAAUUUUUUGUUUUUUUUAGUAUAGACGGGGUUUCACCGUGUUAGCCAGGAUGGUCUCAAUCUCCUGACCUCGUGACCCGCCCGCCUUGGCCUCCCAAAGUGAAGUCUCUUUUCAAAAUCUUAAUGCUUACCUGUGUUUCUUUUAUGAGGAACGUCACGGAAUCAAGAGUUUUUGUCUUCAUUCUUAUUAACUUGUAAAAAUUCUAAGUUAAAGACAUAACCCUUUGUUGUAUUUGUUGUAAAUAUUUUGAAAAUUUGAUGUUUCUCUUUACAUUUUGUUUUCGUGACUUUUUCAAGUCUAAUAUUUAGGUAUAAUGGACGUAUGCCCAUUAAACCUGUGACUUCCUUUUAUUAGUCUUCUAGCCAUAGUAUUCUGCUUAGAAAGAUUUAGCCCAAAUUUUUAAAAAUAUUCUCCUUCUUAUUCAUCUUGUUAUUUUUUAUUGUUAUGUUCUAAUUCAUAUUUAAUAAUUUUGGUAUGCAUGAUAUGCAUCUCUGUCAUACCAAAUGGAGGAUUAAUUGUCCCUGAAUUUACGUGGACUUAGCCCUCAGUCUAUAUAAUUUCCUUCCUAAUCUUCAGCAUAAAUCCAUACCUCAUACUGUUUCUGUAAAAUACUUGUCUUCUCUGUUUCAUCCAUUAUUAUGAUUCACAUCUUAUUUGGCCAAAUUUAAUUCUUAAGCAACUCUUUUCAGAAUAACAUGAUUGGUAUUAUACCUUCUGAGCCUUUAAUGACCAAUAUAGGUUUUUUUUUCCCUCAGAGAUGAAGAAUAGGUUAAAUAUGCCAGAAUUUCCUAAAUACUCCACUGACUCUCCAAUGAGAUUUUAACAUAUUUUAAAGUAGAAGGGGCACUGUUGUCCAAUAAAUUUGGGAAAGUGUGUUAACAGAAUUAAAACUCUUUUUGAUGUGUGCGUUUACGUUUGAAUUUAUUGCAGGGUUUCUCAGAGCUCUUAAUAAAACGUGGUGUUUUAUGUUUUUCUAGGAAAUAAAUGUAAUAUAUAUUACAUUUAUAAGUACGCAUAAAGUAGGCAUAAGAUAGGGACUCCCCUCCACUUCAGACUGGGCAAAUAGGAAGACCCCAAGUGUAUAUACGGAAG